GAAAAUUUUCAACGGUGGAUAUCUUGGUUCCCAUAUCGAUGAAGAACGCAGCAAAAUGCGAUACGCAAUGCGAAUUGCAGAAUUCUACGAGUCAUCAGAUUUUUGAACGCAAGUGGCACUGGCGUUGAGCCAGUAUGUUUGUUUC
rnacentral:rRNA from 1 species